GCCCCGCCCGCCCCCACUGUGCACAGCCCCGAGCGCACUGGCCCGGGAGGAGGCACAAGCCCGACGGACUCUGCGUGGGUCGCGCGACUGGCGACAGGCAGAGCGUCAUCACAACUGCAAUCCCAUGUUGCCUUACGGAUAGCCACGGGGAUGUACGGACACGUGAGAGAGGACACUGGAUCAACUGCUGCCUCUUAAAAGCUUUCUUCAGUUGUUUUUCUCAUGUUUCUUGAAGUAAAAGUGUCACAAGCAUUCACAGUAUGACUAUAACGUACACAUGCAAUAAUUCAAAAUAUAAUCACAUCAUAAUUCAAAGUAAAAUAACAUACUCAGCUUUUUUUUUCAGUAAUUAAGGUGUGUUGGGUUUUCUUCUGCAUUCUUUGGCAGUUUACUCAUAUUCAGCUUGCUUACAUUAAAUCAAUAGUGCAUUUAAGUUACUGAUAGAACUCCACCGGCUUCACGGAAGUCAGGAUUUCCCUCCCCCAUUCCUGUUUUCAAAAUUGCUUUUGGUUCUUUCCUACUAAUAACAGAUGAGUUUUCUGUACUCAGGUAGGAUGGAUUUUCACUCUAGUCAACCUAAAAUUCAAUUUGUGAACAAUAUACCAUGGGGGGGGGGGGGGGAAGCAUGUUCUUACUUUCACUGAAUAUACAGAGUGUAUAUUUCAAACCUAUAUGGUCAAACUAUAAAUAAAGGUUAUUGAUAAUGUG